UCGCUUUUUCAUCCCUUCAUUUUAUAGUCAUUUAGUUCCUUCUUCGUACAAACAAAGAGUUCAUGAAAUUACAUUUUAUGCUUGGCAUAUUCAAGAAACAAUAUCCUUAGCAUUUGUCUUUACUCAUUUAAGAAUUUGUUCAUAUGCUUGUUUUUAUCUAUCUUAAAUAGAGAUGGACACUUGCAUCCUUAAAUAGGGGUUGACAAAACAAAAGUGAUUGAAUGUAAUUAUAUGUGUCGGUGUUGGACACUUACAUAUGUUAGAUACUAGACACGUCUUCAAUCUAAAAUGUUGAUGUUACAUGCCUUGAGAGCACCGGGGAAUGACUCCCUUAAAGGGUAUCUUGUAAGAGUUGGUGGACCCUUUGAAGACACAUGUCGGACACUCAGACACAACUUCAAUAUAAAGUGUCAGUGCAACAUAAAUUCUACUUAUGCUGCACCUGAGCUUUGAUGCCUUUUCCAAUGUGUGCUUGGAAAAGAUUUGAUGUUGGACAGUUGGUAGAGUUGAUAAUAGCCUGUGGUACAAGGAGAUUCCUGAGAGAAUGGUUAAGGUAGCUUUGUCAUGUGGUGAAAAUGUUGGAAGGAUUAGUAGAAAUUCCAAUACCUUUGAAUCCAUUUCAGCAAAUGAUGGUCUAGUGAAUGUUCU